AGGCCUCACGCGAUGGGACGCUGCGAACCGUGUCAGGGCAGGGAUGCAGCAGCACUAAGCAGACCGCUUUCAUGUGCCGUGAA
rnacentral:SRP_RNA from 1 species